rnacentral:rRNA from 1 species
UACGAAGGGGGCUAGCGUUGUUCGGAAUCACUGGGCGUAAAGCGCGUGUAGGCGGAUCGUUAAGUCGGGGGUGAAAUCCUGAGGCUCAACCUCAGAACUGCCUUCGAUACUGGCGAUCUUAGAGUCCGGGAGAGGUGAGUGGAACUCCUAGUGUAGAGGUGAAAUUCGUAGAUAUUAGGAAGAACACCAGUGGCGAAAGGCGGCUCACUGGCCCGGUACUGACGCUGAUAUGGCGAAAAGCGUGGGGAGCAAACAGGGAUUAGAAA